GACGAACCGUGCGAACGUUGUUCGGAAUCACUGGGCUUAAAGGGUGCGUAGGCGGCGCGGUAAGUCGGGUGUGAAAUCUCGGGGCUUAACUCCGAAACUGCAUUCGAUACUGCCGUGCUUGAGGACUGGAGAGGAGACUGGAAUUUACGGUGUAGCGGUGAAAUGCGUAGAUAUCGUAAGGAAGACCAGUGGCGAAGGCGGGUCUCUGGACAGUUCCUGACGCUGAGGCACGAAGGCCAGGGGAGCAAACGGG
rnacentral:rRNA from 1 species